GAUGAACGCUGGCGGCGUGCCUAAUACAUGCAAGUCGAGCGAACGGACGAGAAGCUUGCUUCUCUGAUGUUAGCGGCGGACGGGUGAGUAACACGUGGAUAACCUACCUAUAAGACUGGGAUAACUUCGGGAAACCGGAGCUAAUACCGGAUGAUAUUUUGAACCGCAUGGUUCAAAAGUGAAAGACGGUCUUGCUGUCACUUAUAGAUGGAUCCGCGCUGCAUUAGCUAGUUGGUAAGGUAAUGGCUUACCAAGGCAACGAUGCAUAGCCGACCUGAGAGGGUGAUCGGCCACACUGGAACUGAGACACGGUCCAGACUCCUACGGGAGGCAGCAGUAGGGAAUCUUCCGCAAUGGGCGAAAGCCUGACGGAGCAACGCCGCGUGAGUAAUGAAGGUCUUCGGAUCGUAAAACUCUGUUAUUAGGGAAGAACAUAUGUGUAAGUAACUGUGCACAUCUUGACGGUACCUAAUCAGAAAGCCACGGCUAACUACGUG
rnacentral:rRNA from 1 species